rnacentral:rRNA from 1 species
AGUGAACGCUGGCGGUAGGCCUAACACAUGCAAGUCGAACGGCAGCACAGUAUGAGCUUGCUCUUACGGGUGGCGAGUGGCGGACGGGUGAGGAAUACAUCGGAAUCUACUUUUUCGUGGGGGAUAACGUAGGGAAACUUACGCCAAUACCGCAUACGACCUACGGGUGAAAGCAGGGGAUCUUCGGACCUUGCGCGAUUGAAUGAGCCGAUGUCGGAUUAGCUAGUUGGCGGGGUAAAGGCCCACCAAGGCGACGAUCCGUAGCUGGUCUGAGAGGAUGAUCAGCCACACUGGAACUGAGACACGGUCCAGACUCCUACGGGAGGCAGCAGUGGGGAAUAUUGGACAAUGGGCGCAAGCCUGAUCCAGCCAUACCGCGUGGGUGAAGAAGGCCUUCGGGUUGUAAAGCCCUUUUGUUGGGAAAGAAAAGCAGCAGGUUAAUACCCCGCUGUUCUGACGGUACCCAAAGAAUAAGCACCGGCUAACUUCGUG